CUACGCACUCCUACGGGAGGCAGCAGUGGGGAAUAUUGCACAAUGGGCGCUAAGCCUGAUGCAGCCAUGCCGCGUGUAUGAAGAAGGCCUUCGGGUUGUAAAGUACUUUCAGCAGUGAGGAAGGUGGGUAUGUUAAUAGCAUAUUCAUUUGACGUUAGCUGCAGAAGAAGCACCGGCUAACUCCGUGCCAGCAGCCGCGGUAAUACGGAGGGUGCGAGCGUUAAUCGGAAUUACUGGGCGUAAAGCGCAUGCAGGUGGUUUGUUAAGUCAGAUGUGAAAGCCCGGGGCUCAACCUCGGAAUUGCAUUUGAAACUGGCAAACUAGAGUACUGUAGAGGGGGUAGAAUUUCAGGUGUAGCGGUGAAAUGCGUAGAGAUCUGAAGGAAUACCGGUGGCGAAGGCGGCCCCCUGGACAGAUACUGACACUCAGAUGCGAAAGCGUGGGGAGCAAACAGGAUUAGAUACCCUGGUAG
rnacentral:rRNA from 1 species